UACGAAGGGGGCUAGCGUUGUUCGGAAUUACUGGGCGUAAAGCGCACGUAGGCGGAUACUUAAGUCAGGGGUGAAAUCCCGGGGCUCAACCCCGGAACUGCCUUUGAUACUGGGUAUCUCGAGUCCGGAAGAGGUGAGUGGAAUUCCGAGUGUAGAGGUGAAAUUCGUAGAUAUUCGGAAGAACACCAGUGGCGAAGGCGGCUCACUGGCCCGGUACUGACGCUGAUGUGCGAAAGCGUGGGGAGCAAACAGG
rnacentral:rRNA from 1 species